rnacentral:rRNA from 1 species
UACGGAGGAUGCGAGUGUUAUCCGGAUUUAUUGGGUUUAAAGGGUGCGUAGGCGGCUUUUUAAGUCAGCGGUGAAAUUUUGCAGCUUAACUGUAACAGUGCCGUUGAUACUGGGGAGCUAGGAUUUGGUUGCUGUGGGUGGAAUGUGUGGUGUAGCGGUGAAAUGCUUAGAGAUCACACAGAAUAUCGAUUGCGAAGGCAGCUCACAAAGCCAAGAUUGACGCUGAGGCACGAAAGUGUGGGGAUCAAACAGGA